rnacentral:rRNA from 1 species
UACGUAGGCAGCAAGCGUUGUUCGGAGUUACUGGGCGUAAAGGGUGCGUAGGCGGCUUCUUAAGUCUGGUGUGAAAUCUCCCGGCUCAACUGGGAGGGUGCGCCGGAUACUGAGGGGCCAGAGUGUGGGAGAGGAAAGUGGAAUUCCUGGUGUAGCGGUGAAAUGCGUAGAUAUCAGGAGGAACACCGGUGGUGUAAACGGCUUUCUGGACCAUAACUGACGCUGAGGCACGAAAGCGUGGGUAGCAAACAGG